GGUCGGUUAGCUCAGUUGGUUAGAGCGUCGUACGUUGCCCUUAACAUUCCUUUGCUAGAUUAACAAUACCUUAAAGACUAACAUGCUAUAGGUACUAAUAAUGCGAAGGUCAUGAGUUCGACCCUCAUACUGACCA